CUGAGACAUUGGUGCAGCUGGCUUCCGGGUUGGAUGUGCGUUGUGUCAAGAAGCAGUGCUGCUAGGUUGGAUUGUGUUUCGGAGGAUGCAUGGCUCUCGACCUUCACCUCUCCCGAAUCCGUACGGGAGUUGCAGCGAUGAGACAAGACUAACUACUACCAAUUGGAUACCACAAAAAUGACCUGAGCCUCAGGACUACCUGGCAUGAUGACUCCUUGCUGUCCCCAGUCUACCUGGCCAUGCUGCUGCUCCAGUUUCAACUAUUCUGCCUGCAGCUAUGGAACCCUGACCUGUUCACCGGACGUGCUACCUGUCCCAGACCUGCUGUUUUCAAUUCUCUAGAGACAGCAGGAGUGGUAGAGAUACUCCUAAUGAUCAGCUAUGAAAAGCCAACUGACAUUUACUCCUGAGGUGCUGACUUGCGGCACCCUCGACAACUAAUGUGAUUAUUAUUAUUUGACCAUGCUGGUCAUUUAUGAACAUUUGAACAUCUUAGCCAUGUUCUGUUAUAAUCUCCACCCGGCACAGCCAGAAGAGGACUGGCCACCCCUCAUAGCCUGGUUCCUCUCUAGGUUUCUUCCUAGGUUUUGGCCUUUCUAGGGAGUUUUUCCUAACCACCGUGCUUCUCCACCUGCAUUACUUGCUGUUGUUUUUUUUGGCUGGGUUUCUGUAUAGCACUUUGAGAUAUCAGCUGAUGUAAGAAGGGCUAUAUAAAUACAUUUGAUUUGAUUCGUAAA